UACGGGGGGGGCAAGCGUUGUUCGGAAUUACUGGGCGUAAAGGGCUCGUAGGCGGCCAACUAAGUCAGACGUGAAAUCCCUCGGCUUAACCGGGGAACUGCAUCUGAUACUGGAUGGCUUGAGUUCGGGAGAGGGAUGCGGAAUUCCAGGUGUAGCGGUGAAAUGCGUAGAUAUCGGGAGGAACACCGGUGGCGAAGGCGGCCCCCUGGUUGGAUACUGACGCUGAGACGCGAAAGCGUGGGGAGCAAACAGG
rnacentral:rRNA from 1 species